AUGCACCUUGCUAUGUGUUCUGUUAAAAGACUCAUCAAAUCUUUUAAGGUGACCUUGAUGUUAGUCCACAAGAAAGGAACUUCUGGGGCUUUCCCUGACCAAUCUGUGAGAACCUGCCAACUGGAGAAACUAUACCAUACCAGGCUCUAGAACCUGUUGUCCAGGCCUCCCUAGAAUUCCCCAAUCUGAAACCAAAGGUUGGCUCAUCUAGUCAUGGUCCUAGGCUGGCUCUUACC
rnacentral:lncRNA from 1 species